UUACUGAGCAUAUGGAACUCACUCUUUCUAUGCGCUCCCCCCAGAUGAGGAACCGUCAACUGACCUACCCAUUGAAGUUAUGAGGAUCCCAUAGAUCCGCAAACCUUGAGUGCAUGAUCGUUCCCUCACUCUGAUGAGUCUAAUAAUAUAAUGAUAAAAGUGGCCCUCUUUUGUAUUUUGACAUUGUAUUUUCUAGCCACUUCUGG
rnacentral:lncRNA from 1 species